UACGUAUGGAGCAAGCGUUAUCCGGAUUUACUGGGCGUAAAGGGAGCGUAGACGGCAGCGCAAGUCUGGAGUGAAAUGCCGGGGCCCAACCCCGGAACUGCUCUGGAAACUGUGAAGCUGGAGUGCAGGAGAGGUAAGCGGAAUUCCUGGUGUAGCGGUGAAAUGCAUAGAUAUCGCGCAGAACUCCGAUUGCGAAGGCAGCAUGCCGGCUCCACACUGACGCUGAGGCACGAAAGCGUGGGGAUCGAACAGG
rnacentral:rRNA from 1 species